rnacentral:rRNA from 1 species
GGUUAAGCGACUAAGCGUACACGGUGGAUGCCCUGGCAGUCAGAGGCGAUGAAGGACGUGCUAAUCUGCGAUAAGCGUCGGUAAGGUGAUAUGAACCGUUAUAACCGGCGAUUUCCGAAUGGGGAAACCCAGUGUGUUUCGACACACUAUCAUUAACUGAAUCCAUAGGUUAAUGAGGCGAACCGGGGGAACUGAAACAUCUAAGUACCCCGAGGAAAAGAAAUCAACCGAGAUUCCCCCAGUAGCGGCGAGCGAACGGGGAGCAGCCCAGAGCCUGAAUCAGUGUGUGUGUUAGUGGAAGCGUCUGGAAAGGCGUGCGAUACAGGGUGACAGCCCCGUACACAAAAAUGCACAUGCUGUGAGCUCGAUGAGUAGGGCGGGACACGUGGUAUCCUGUCUGAAUAUGGGGGGACCAUCCUCCAAGGCUAAAUACUCCUGACUGACCGAUAGUGAACCAGUACCGUGAGGGAAAGGCGAAAAGAACCCCGGCGAGGGGAGUGAAAAAGAACCUGAAACCGUGUACGUACAAGCAGUGGGAGCACGCUUAGGCGUGUGACUGCGUACCUUUUGUAUAAUGGGUCAGCGACUUAUAUUCUGUAGCAAGGUUAACCGAAUAGGGGAGCCGAAGGGAAACCGAGUCUUAACUGGGCGUUAAGUUGCAGGGUAUAGACCCGAAACCCGGUGAUCUAGCCAUGGGCAGGUUGAAGGUUGGGUAACACUAACUGGAGGACCGAACCGACUAAUGUUGAAAAAUUAGCGGAUGACUUGUGGCUGGGGGUGAAAGGCCAAUCAAACCGGGAGAUAGCUGGUUCUCCCCGAAAGCUAUUUAGGUAGCGCCUCGUGAAUUCAUCUCCGGGGGUAGAGCACUGUUUCGGCAAGGGGGUCAUCCCGACUUACCAACCCGAUGCAAACUGCGAAUACCGGAGAAUGUUAUCACGGGAGACACACGGCGGGUGCUAACGUCCGUCGUGAAGAGGGAAACAACCCAGACCGCCAGCUAAGGUCCCAAAGUCAUGGUUAAGUGGGAAACGAUGUGGGAAGGCCCAGACAGCCAGGAUGUUGGCUUAGAAGCAGCCAUCAUUUAAAGAAAGCGUAAUAGCUCACUGGUCGAGUCGGCCUGCGCGGAAGAUGUAACGGGGCUAAACCAUGCACCGAAGCUGCGGCAGCGACACUAUGCGUUGUUGGGUAGGGGAGCGUUCUGUAAGCCUGUGAAGGUGUGCUGUGAGGCAUGCUGGAGGUAUCAGAAGUGCGAAUGCUGACAUAAGUAACGAUAAAGCGGGUGAAAAGCCCGCUCGCCGGAAGACCAAGGGUUCCUGUCCAACGUUAAUCGGGGCAGGGUGAGUCGACCCCUAAGGCGAGGCCGAAAGGCGUAGUCGAUGGGAAACAGGUUAAUAUUCCUGUACUUGGUGUUACUGCGAAGGGGGGACGGAGAAGGCUAUGUUGGCCGGGCGACGGUUGUCCCGGUUUAAGCGUGUAGGCUGGUUUUCCAGGCAAAUCCGGAAAAUCAAGGCUGAGGCGUGAUGACGAGGCACUACGGUGCUGAAGCAACAAAUGCCCUGCUUCCAGGAAAAGCCUCUAAGCAUCAGGUAACAUCAAAUCGUACCCCAAACCGACACAGGUGGUCAGGUAGAGAAUACCAAGGCGCUUGAGAGAACUCGGGUGAAGGAACUAGGCAAAAUGGUGCCGUAACUUCGGGAGAAGGCACGCUGAUAUGUAGGUGAAGCGACUUGCUCGUGGAGCUGAAAUCAGUCGAAGAUACCAGCUGGCUGCAACUGUUUAUUAAAAACACAGCACUGUGCAAACACGAAAGUGGACGUAUACGGUGUGACGCCUGCCCGGUGCCGGAAGGUUAAUUGAUGGGGUUAGCCGCAAGGCGAAGCUCUUGAUCGAAGCCCCGGUAAACGGCGGCCGUAACUAUAACGGUCCUAAGGUAGCGAAAUUCCUUGUCGGGUAAGUUCCGACCUGCACGAAUGGCGUAAUGAUGGCCAGGCUGUCUCCACCCGAGACUCAGUGAAAUUGAACUCGCUGUGAAGAUGCAGUGUACCCGCGGCAAGACGGAAAGACCCCGUGAACCUUUACUAUAGCUUGACACUGAACAUUGAGCCUUGAUGUGUAGGAUAGGUGGGAGGCUUUGAAGUGUGGACGCCAGUCUGCAUGGAGCCGACCUUGAAAUACCACCCUUUAAUGUUUGAUGUUCUAACGUUGACCCGUAAUCCGGGUUGCGGACAGUGUCUGGUGGGUAGUUUGACUGGGGCGGUCUCCUCCUAAAGAGUAACGGAGGAGCACGAAGGUUGGCUAAUCCUGGUCGGACAUCAGGAGGUUAGUGCAAUGGCAUAAGCCAGCUUGACUGCGAGCGUGACGGCGCGAGCAGGUGCGAAAGCAGGUCAUAGUGAUCCGGUGGUUCUGAAUGGAAGGGCCAUCGCUCAACGGAUAAAAGGUACUCCGGGGAUAACAGGCUGAUACCGCCCAAGAGUUCAUAUCGACGGCGGUGUUUGGCACCUCGAUGUCGGCUCAUCACAUCCUGGGGCUGAAGUAGGUCCCAAGGGUAUGGCUGUUCGCCAUUUAAAGUGGUACGCGAGCUGGGUUUAGAACGUCGUGAGACAGUUCGGUCCCUAUCUGCCGUGGGCGCUGGAGAACUGAGGGGGGCUGCUCCUAGUACGAGAGGACCGGAGUGGACGCAUCACUGGUGUUCGGGUUGUCAUGCCAAUGGCACUGCCCGGUAGCUAAAUGCGGAAGAGAUAAGUGCUGAAAGCAUCUAAGCACGAAACUUGCCCCGAGAUGAGUUCUCCCUGACUCCUUGAGAGUCCUGAAGGAACGUUGAAGACGACGACGUUGAUAGGCCGGGUGUGUAAGCGCAGCGAUGCGUUGAGCUAACCGGUACUAAUGAACCGUGAGGCUUAACCUU